AUGUCGGUGGAUACGGAGCGGAGCUCCACCGAGUCGUCCGCGGCCUCCAGGCUCGGCUACAAGGACACCACGUUCGCCCUCACCCUCCGCCUCCCGGGCUCCGACUCCGGUCGUUCCUCCUCGCUCGCCGCGCCCUCCGACGCUGCGCCGUCACCCAAGGCGCGGGUGGUGGGGUGGCCGCCGGUGAGGUCGUACCGCAAGAACGCGCUCGCCGACUCCAGCAAGGCCAGCCGCGCAGCCAAUUUCGUGAAGGUGGUCGUCGACGGCGCGGCCUACCUGCGGAAGGUGGACCUCCAGGCGGGUGGCAGUGCAGACGAGGUUACAGACGGCGGCGCGGGCACCUGCUGCUGGCAGACGGGGUCGCGGGCUCCUGCUGGCAGACGGCGGCGCGUGCAGAUGUUGGCAGACAGCGGCGCUGGCACCUGGUGGCAGACGCCGGCGUGCCUAACUGGGCUGUUUGCUUACAUUGGGCCAGGCCUAACAAACAGUAGCCCAACAAGGCCUGCCACUAACUCCGCGCACGCAACGGCGAGGUCGACGCCGCCGGUCGGCGAUCGCGCACUCUGUCUCUGCCGGAGUGCCGCCGUGCUGGAUCUUCCGCCCGGCGCUCCUCAGUCGACCUUCCGCUCCCGCCCAUGGCACGACCCUAAGCCCGCCGCUGUCGGUGGCGGCGGCUGGCUCUCAGAGUGGGGGUGGGACCUUAUGCUCGGAUCGAUCGCCGCGUUCUACGCCGUCAUGGCGCCCUACACCAAGGUGGAGGAGAGCUUCAACGUGCAGGCCAUGCAUGAUAUUCUUUAUCACACUUAUCACAUCGAGAUGAGCAUUUGUUAUCUCUAUUCUCUCAUCACCGCUAGACUAACAUUGAGUUGUGUUACUUUGACGAGUUUGAGACUUCUCAGAGCUCAGAUACUCUAAGGAGGAGCAAAUUCCCGUUGAAGAAUUUGAGAGAAGGAAUUUCACCUAUCUACUGAAGUGAGUUUUAUUAGUUUGUUCAAAUGGACCGUGCUGUCAUUUCGGAUGCGGAUACCAAACAAGUUUUUUAAUGCUUGGAGCAACUUUUGUUCAUUCGAUAAUAUUUGAUGAAUUCAACAUCGUGAUGCUUUAGUGCUCUAUCCCUUAUCCCGGGCAUGUGAAAGUGAAAACAGUGAAUACCCGCUCCAUUGGUGGCUA